rnacentral:tRNA from 1 species
AGCAGAGUGGAAACAUGCUGGGUCCAUAACUCAGAGGUCCGUGGAUCGAAACCACGCUCUGCUA